rfam:Chlorocebus sabaeus isolate 1994-021 chromosome 20, whole genome shotgun sequence.
UAUUAGAUUGGUGCAAAAGUAAUUGCGGUUUUUGCCAUUGAAAGUAAUGGUAAAAACGGCAGUUACUUUUGCACCAACCUAAUA